AGCGCAGGUGGUUUCUUAAGUCUGAUGUAAAAGGCAGUGGCUCAACCAUUGUGUGCAUUGGAAACUGGGAGACUUGAGUGCAGGAGAGGAGAGUGGAAUUCCAUGUGUAGCGGUGAAAUGCGUAGAUAUAUGGAGGAACACCGGAGGCGAAAGCGGCUCUCUGGCCUGUAACUGACACUGAGGCUCGAAAGCGUGGGGAGCAAACGA
rnacentral:rRNA from 1 species